GGAGGGUGCAAGCGUUAAUCGGAAUUACUGGGCGUAAAGGGUGCGUAGGUGGUUUGAUAAGUUAAGUGUGAAAUAUCUGGGCUUAACCUGGGGACGUCACUUAAAACUGUUGAACUAGAGUAUAGGAGAGGGUAGUGGAAUUUCCGGUGUAGCGGUGAAAUGCGUAGAGAUCGGAAGGAACACCAGUGGCGAAGGCGGCUACCUGGCCUGAUACUGACACUGAGGCACGAAAGCAAGGUUAGCAAACAGGAUUAGAUACCCUGGGUAGUCCAUGCUGUAAACGAUGUCAACUAGCUGUUGGUCUUAUUGAUGAGAUUAGUAGCGCAGCAAACGCGAUAAGUUGACCGCCUGGGGAUACGGUCGCAAGAUUA
rnacentral:rRNA from 1 species